rnacentral:rRNA from 1 species
GGGACAGAAGAAGAGGUAAUACCGGCAGCCCGAGUGAUGGCCGAUCUUAUUGGGCCUAAAGCGUCCGUAGCUGGCUGCGCAAGUCCGUCGGGAAAUCCACUCGCCCAACGAGUGGGCGUCCGACGGAAACUGCACAGCUUGGGACCGGAAGGCUCGAAGGGUACGUUCGGGGUAGGAGUGAAAUCCCAUAAUCCCGCACGGACCACCGAUGGCGAAAGCACUUCGAGAAAACGGAUCCGACAGUGAGGGACGAAAGCCAGGGUCUCCAACCGGAUUAGAAACCCCUGUAGUCC